AUGUUUUACUACGACGCACGGGGUGGAGAGGUCAAGGACAAGAAGAGAAGGGAUGGCAGGCCUGCCUUCGGCCAUAAGACCGACUUCUGCUGCAUCCAGGAACCGAGUGAUUCUCUUAAUGAUGGAUUCUAUGUCCUACACCACAUGCUGGAGUACAGACAUGAUCACCAGAACCUUCGCAUGUCACCUACAUCCGGCGAUGCCCAUAUUCUGCAAUGGGCAAAGAACGUAGGAGAUAUCGAGGAUCACGACUUCGAGCUGAGUUCUAUCACAUCCAGCGCGAACUUGCGCAAAUCAUCAUGA
rnacentral:rRNA from 1 species